ACUCCCGGGUUCGAACCAUUUACUUUAUUCUUCUGCUAAGGAGGAAAAUACAGCAAGCAAAACUUUGGGAUACAACGUAAGCACAAGAACGCUACGAUUUAUGAAUAAGUUUCUACAAAAAAGUGCCUUGUCCUGAGUCAACACGAUGCUUAAAUUUUUAAAUCAACAUGUUACUGGAAGAAGAAAGAUACGAACAGAAUAAUACUCACCCAUGACGGUAAAUCUCUAAACGAGCACGGAUAACCCCUUCUUCACUUUGUGUCAAUGCUAGUCCAACUUUUUGCUUCCAAUUCCUUUCCUCUUGUUUGACCUGCAUAAGAUAAUAAACGAGAGCGACCAAAACAACCCACGAACACACAAAGCCAAGCCAGCCGAACAGCCAUAUGGCAAAAAACACGCCAAAGUAUUUAAGAAAGGACAGAAUCAUUUUUACAAUUCGCAUAUGGAGAAACGACCUGAAUAAAUCAAACACACGUUUA